rnacentral:lncRNA from 1 species
CCGAGGGCCAGGCUGUCACCGGAAGUCCUGCACGCCGCCUGGGCCUGCCCAGGGCCCACGAUGGAGGACAGUCAGCAGAGACGGCGUCUGUGACGGGCCCGCGCGCAGUGGGUGUGCAGCGAGGAGCCUGCCCCUGGGAUCCUCUGCCUCUCAUCUCCCGGACGGCAGAGAGGGGCUCCUGAGCAUCAGAAACGUCAGUUCGUCUCUGCCCAGGAGGGACGAUGAGAAAGCCGCUCACUCUGAGGGACACGUCCCUUCUCCCCUCGAAGGCCGCUCAGGUUUCCAGAGGCCCCCCCCGCGAAGUGCAGCUGGGGCCUCACCCAAGGUCUCUGCGAGCCCCGCCCCAGGGGGACUGCGGCAGGCAUCCAGG